AACCUUACCUUUUAAGGCGGGGGAGUAGCCCAUAGAAAUGUGGAUUAAUACCCCAUAGCAAUGUUUAAUGGCAUCAUUAGAUAUUUAAAGAUUUAUCACUUAAAGAUGGCUGUGCGGCUGAUUAGGUAGUUGGUGCGGGUAACGGCCCACCAAGCCAGCGAUCAGUAACUGGUGUGAGAGCACGACCAGUCACACGGGCACUGAGACACGGGCCCG
rnacentral:rRNA from 1 species